UUUGUUUCUCGAUCCCUCAUACCCAUCAUAAAUCCCCCUGUUCUGAACUGUCAACUGCAACCAAGUACAACAAUCAAGGUCAUAACUCCUGUAUCCGUGCAGCAGUGUAGGUAUUAUCUAUAACUAUUAGGAUGAACCUUUUGUGAAGUAAUAGAAGACUACAGCCAUAACUAGCAAAUCACAAGCAGCAAGGUAGCAAGCAAUACAAACGGAAAUAGUUCUCACAAUUUUUCAAUUGUUAACACCGGUUUGUGAAGAUCAGAGAACAAGGAUCUCAACAAAAAGGACCAUGACACAAGCAACUAUCAUAUAUAUGAGCACAACAUGGUUAACAAAAACUAAGCAAAUUAUCUGUUUUUAGAACAACCAAAGACCCAAGCAAGCAACCACAAAUGAGAAGAGGGGACCAUACAAGAAUGAUGUGACAGGAUAUAAUUCCUAGAACUCCCUAUGAAGAGCGACUUAAUAUUUGUUCUAGCAAAUACCUGCCCGUGCACAUCUGAGGCUAAACCAGUGGCCAACGGUUCUGCCGUUAUCAGAAUGUCUGCUAGAUACUCCAUCUGUAAAAUAAGGGUAGGCUUUGCCGUGCUUGAAUAGAUAUCCUUGUG
rnacentral:lncRNA from 1 species